CUGGCUUUGUGUCCUCAGUGAUGCCCACCAGAGAGGAUGCAGCGAUCAAGACUUGUAAAAAUAAACCUGUGUCUGCUUCAGCUGACUUCAGCAGAAACAGAGAACCUGUUGGCUGCCCACAAUGGAGAGGCCCACACUCUCCCUUCAGAUCUGUCUGGAUUCGAGGCUGCACGAGACAUGACCAGAUCCUUCAAGACACAAGAAACAGCAGCUGUGAACUCCCCUGCCAUGUACCAGGCUGAUCCACCGGCAGGGACGAAUGAGACCUCCUUAAGCGGUGCCAAAAGAAAAGCCUCCUCCCUACAGCUAGCCGGCUGCAAUGCCGUGAUGCAGCAUUUUGCAUAGGAGUGAAGACUCAAGAUGGCAGAGCGACGAGGAGGAUCCUGGGAUUAAUAACACUGGUUCAUCUCAUCUCCAAGCCACCAUUGGAGUGUUGUUUAUCAGCCCCUGCUUAGUCUUGGAAGAAUGAUGUCUUGAAAUGAAUUGAUCAGCUCCUUAAAGAUGAAUGUGCACGCUUGAUGGAGGAUGUGCAGUCAGCCACACAGCAAAAUUCUUCAUUGAUCUGCCCUCUGAGAACCCUCGUGGAAGGGGGGUACUGGAUUUAGCAGAGAAGAUGGUUUCCAGCCUGAUUCUAUUGCUAACUUAAUAUUUGAUGUUGACGGUGUCUUUUCUUUUCUUCUGCUGGCCCAGUGGAUGCUGGGUAUUGAUGCCACAACCUGGCCAGGGUCCCAGGGCAGAUCCGCAGAAGCCCAGGAGGACCAGAAUCUUGAUCCUGAAGAGUUUCCAUUUGUCCAACAUUCUAUAAACACCAGCCGAGUGCUCUCCCAUGAGGGGCAUGGCAGAAUGUGCCGUGGGUACAGAGCUGAAACAAAGUAGGUCCCCACUCUCAGAGUGUACAAAUGACUCGAUGAGAUGACACCAACAAGACAACUUAUAGAUGCUCGAUGCUCCACAUGACCCUCUUGCUCAUCACCAUCCUCUUUGGGAAGGGACCAUCUAGUUGUCCAGAAGCUCUGUGGUUCCCAGUACUCCAGCCUGACACCACGUCUCCCUGAUGGUUCCUGGGGCUCUGCCCUCUACCCCCACCUCCACCCCAGACUCUGGCACCUAAUCUGACAUGUCAGUUCAUCCUUGGUCUAUUUAGGUACUUAGUCCUGAUAUCUCUAUCACCAUAGAGGCUUCUUUGAUGCGCCAGAGCCAGGUUGGGGUCUGGUUUGGGUGUUCCCAAACCCCACUAUACGCUUAGUUCACCUCUUAAGGUGAGGAAUGGCAGCUGCCCGACUCCUGUCUUUGACUCCUUACUAAAGAACUGUAAAAGUUGUGCUUGCUCACUGCAUAAAGGAUUUGGACUUUGAAGAAUGUGUAGGAAUAAAAUAAAAGGCAAGACAUAGUGAAGGCCCUCCAUCUGAGAGUGUGCACAUGUGGUUAUAUGUGUGUGUAGGUGUGUUUCAGAAUUGCAGGAGUGAUGGAG